rnacentral:lncRNA from 1 species
GGGGGUUCAGGAAGGCAGUACCUUGAGGGUAGGCACAUUGCCUUGUACCUUGCCUUGUUCACUUUUUUAAAGAUGUUAUUUAUUUAUUUAUUUAUUUAUUUAUUUAUUUAUUUAUUUGACAGAAAGAGAGCAGAAGAGGCAGAGGGAGAAGCAGGCUCCCCUCUGGGCAGGGACUCAAUCCCAGGACCCUGGGAUCAUGACCCGACCUGAAGGCAGACACUUCACCAACUGAGCCACCAGGCGUCCCUGCCUUGUUCAUACUGCCCAUGUCGAACCUGGCACACAUCUAGAAACUUGAUACGGUUCAGGCGGAGGACUCAUGGCAGUGCUGAAGCCAAAGUAACGGGAUAAUCACGUGGGGAUGAGACACUGUUCCAGAACCGCUGAGAAUCACACCCUGCAUACGUGUGUCCAUGCAUGUGCACACAGUGGUGGCAUGAAUGAUACUCCUGUGUGAGCACCUGCAGUAUCCUCGAAUUAGCAACGUUAAAACUUCUUAUAUUCGAUGUAGCGACGCUUCAAUUAGAAGGCAGCUGUGCAAAUUUGAUAGGACAAUUUUUGAGGCCAUUUCGAGGAGGUUCUGGGACCAGUUUGAAAAAGACCAAGUCUCCUGGCUCUGAUCUUUGGAGACUUCGGAUAUUCUGGAUCAAGGCUAGAUACUAUGGCCUUGUGAAAAGACUGGAAAUAUUUUCUCUUUUUAGUGUACAAACCUUAAUGUUAAAGAUAUUUAAAAAUGUUACAUAAUCUAUACCUUGUCAUAAAUGUCUCUGCAAGUUACCAUGAAACUGGGUUUUUUUUACCCUUUGAGCUUCAGUGGAAGUGUCCCAGAAGACAUGAGACUCGCUCUGGUUUUUAUCACCAGGGAAUUGUCUCCUCUAGG